rnacentral:rRNA from 1 species
GUUAGGAAUAUUGGACAAUGGGCGCAAGCCUGAUCCAGCCAUGCCGCGUGAGUGAUGAAGGCCUUCGGGUUGUAAAGCUCUUUAGCCGAUGAUUAUAAUGACUGUAGUCGGAAAAUAAGCCCCGGCUAACUUCGUGCCAGCAGCCGCGGUAAUACGAAGGGGGCGAGCGUUAUUCGGAAUCACUGGGCGUAAAGCGUGCGUAGGCGGCUUUGCAAGUUGGGAGUGAAAGCCCAGGGCUCAACCCUGGAAUUGCUCUCAAAACUGCAAGGCUCGAAUUCGGGAGAGGAUAGUGGAAUUGUCAGUGAAGCAGUGAAAUGCGUAGAUAUUGACAGGAACACCAGUGGCGUAAGCGGCUAUCUGGACCGAUAUUGACGCUGAGGCACGAAAGCGUGGGGAGCAAACAGGAUUAGAAACCCGGGUAGUCC